CCCGAAUGCCCAGCCCGAGUUCCUCCUCCGCGCCUCCUCCCCGACCUGUCGACGGUUCCGUCCGUCUCCCCAUCGCCCUCGCAGACGGCCGCGGUCGCCGCACAACGUCUCGCGAGCGGUUCCAGCUCGUGCGCCGCCCUCGCCUUCGCCAUCCCGUCUCGCUCGCCCAUGCCGCCGCUCUGCCUUCCCCCUCGCGCCGCCCUCUAGCCUCACUGGAAGCGAGCGGCCACCUCUCUGCCGCGCCGCCGCGCUCCCUCACCCCCGUGCCUACGACGGAUCCCCGCCCUGGCACUCGGCCGCUGGCUCCCCUAGCGCCCGGCCUACUCUCCAUCGGGCCUCCACCUCUCCGUCAAUCCACCCCAUCCGCUGGCCGUGGGUUCGCACACGCCGCCGAUCCGCUUGGGCUCGCGCCUUCCCUGCUGUCGUCGAUCCGAGCGGACCCCGCUGCCCUGCAUCGGCGGAUCGGCCGCCGCUCCGCUCGGGCUGCUGCACAACCGCGCCGCCGCCGCCGCCGAACCGAGCCCUCCCUCUCUCAUGCGCUGCAUCUUGCAGGACUCGUGGCCGUUGAGGUCCCGUUCAGCCCAGGGUGGUAGACGGUGGAAAAGGUGCAGGUGGCGCCGGUGGCACGGGAGCCGGCCCCUUCGACGAUGAGAGGCUGGUCGCGAAGCUCAACGAGUAUUCAGAGUAUCCUUUUUUUUCCAUUGUUACUUUCUUGCAUGCUCGCAAAUUCCGAAGCCUAGGUGUUUCUGUCCGUUUCAUAUUCAAGCAGCCCUAACUUUUGAAAGAUUUUACUAUUUAAUUAUUUAUGUGCAGCACUUUUGAAAGAUUUUAGUAUUUAUGCGCAGCGUGAUUUUUGAAAGAGUUCUUCAACUCGUAAACAGUGUCCCCCUGAUCUUGGCUAACCCUGAAACAAUUUGUCUUCUCCACGGAGUGGCCACAAUCCUUCGUCAGGCUGCUUCAAUUUCAGUCGGAUCCGGUGGUGUGCAACUUUGCUUGAUAAACUAGAAAUUUCGUAGAGAUGCAGAAUAUGACAUGAGCCCUGGUUCUGAUUUUUCAAUUUUUUGGCAGCCCUCGCCCUCACAGCCUCCACCCAUUACCUCAAAGGUCAAUGAGCUCUCCCUCCAACUAUUGGUCUGUCAUGGAAUUUCAUUUAGAUAAUUUUAGCUGAUGGUUUGGUGAUUACACUUGGUUCGUUGAGGAAUUAUAAUUCAUACAAUUUUAGCUGAUGGUUAAGAGAUGAUCAAGUCAAUCUUAAAAGUGUCGUAUAUUGUUUUGUCUACUGUCUUUGCUUUGGAUGAUUUAGAUGGAAGGCCCGUCACUUUAAUAGGAUAAUGAUAGAGCAUCAACCUGUUAUGGCCUCCAAUUUAUUUACUGUGUCAAGCAUGCAUACUGAUAGGGCUUCAACAUAUUAGUAUGUGGCAAUGCUUAAGACACUUGCUAACCUGUGAAGCAACCUCUUAGUGCUUUACUGUUUUAAUAGGAAGGCUGAUUUCAAUUUAAAAAGUGAAACAGGCAUGGGAAGAAAAAAUUCCAAGUCGCAAUGAAAAAGAAAAGUAAUUCCCAAAAGUAACCCAACUAAAGUUUAUCUUCAAUUCAUGCUGCUGAAAUUAGUCAGGAAUCCUUCUUCAGUUGCCAUAAAGUAGUGUAGCUUUUGGGACCCAUCUCAUGCCUGGAUUUCGAUGCCUUCUAAAAAUAUUUGCCUACACAGUCUAAAGAUAAUCCAUAAAGGGUAUUCUUGCUUGGUGAUACAAGGCAUUCUUUGAGUACCUCCAUCUUGUCUGAAUUAAUGUAUUGAGAUACAUCUCUCAGUAAAUAUUUGUGGGCUUACUCUGAUCACAACAUGCAUAUGAUGGACACUUUUAAUAUUGAAUUGUCUGAACCACAUCAAGUCAAGGGAGUUUCCUUUGUAUGAUAUUUUUGUUAGUUUUAAGAUGGGUUUGUUAAAAAAACUAAUGUUUGUGGAAAACGUUGUCUGGUUGUUAAAUCCCUCUGACACUCUUUUCAGUGGCAUGCUCAACAAAGUAUGUUCUUUUUCUUACAUCAGUUCUCUUAUUUUCAUGUACAGUAUGGUCCUCCUUUUAAAUAUAUCUGUUAGCCAUAAUGUGCAUUGACACUGAUUGCAACAUGCCACGAGAUUAAACAUUUUUUACAUAUGCAUUACCUUCCCUGGGUACUGCUAUUCUUGAUUGAAUGUGUUCUUGCAAGUACUGCUCAGCUUCACACUACUCACUUUGCCUACUGAUAUUUUUCCUCUUACAGAAUAUUUCUAUGCUUUGUAAAGUUUUGUUUUAACAUCAUAUUCUUCAAUGGAUUUCUUGACCUGUGACUUGUGGAGGUUGAGCAAACGUCACUUUGCCUUUUAUCUGAUCUGAGCCAUUUCAUUGUCAUGUGAACGUUGCAAUGCCCAGAAGAAUGCAAAGUAUGGCUGGCUCACGCCUUGUACUCAGAUUUAUGCAUUGUGGAUGAAAGUGAUUUCUGAUGCAUUUAGUGAGGUAUAUCUUGUACCGAAAAUUUUUGUGUUUGUCUUCUUCGCAAUUUGGGCCGAUGGAUGAUCAGGCUGCCAAGGCAUUCCGUCUCUUCUCCAUUUAGUAGGCCAAGGUACUAGCAUUGCUCCAUUUAAAUGAUGAAUCACCCUGAAAUAUCAAGCUGUGGAGACUAACAUAACACUGGAAAUUUUUAUUGGUUGAGUUCAGCAUUUAUCACAUUGCUAAACACUUUCAAAGUGCUGGACCACACUAUGUAAGUUUGGAUUAGUCGAGGUACUUGUGGUAUUCUCCAAAAUUGCAAUGUCGGUUCUGUUUAUUUUCACAUAAUUUCUGAACUUGAAAAGUUCUCAAGUGAAUUUACUUACUAUAAGAAACCAGUGAAUUAAGUUACUAUAAGAAACCAGUGCUUCCAUACAAUAAAUAAUUCAAACUGUGUUCGAAUUUAUGUAAUGGCUGUUCGUAUAAUAUAAUAUUAACAUGUUGACAUUUAUAUGUGCAUGAUAAAAUGACAAUUUAUUCCCUAUAUACUAGACUAGGUUUUCUGAUACUCUAUUUGGCAAUGAAGUCUUCAUUUACCUUAUUGCAGUGAACAAGGGUUACACAAUGUGCCAGAUUUGAUUUAUACUUUUCCGAUGCUAGCACUGAGAGAAUAUAUAUAUAUACUUGAAGAUUGAUGCUUGUGGAGGUAAUUUAUAUGCCUGAGUUGCUACGUUUCAUAUAAAUGAAGAUUGAUGCUUCACUUUUUCUCAAAAAAAAUGAUGCUUCACUUGUGUAUGGGAGCAAAUUCAAUAUCCACAUAAGGCUUCAGAAGAUUUCUGACAAGGUUGGAGAGGCACAAGAUGCAGAUUGUAGAGGCUAGGCGGCAGGCUGUGUUCGAGGUGGAGGUGCGGGUGUUUGCGGCAAGGAGGCGGCUGGUGGAGCUGGAGUCGAUGCAUGCAGAGGGUGAGAGGAUGAAAACCGCCACAUAGGAGCUGGACAACCUUAAGAGGGUCCACUCGUGUGUCUGAUGAAGAUAACUAGAGUAUGAGCUGCUAAUUUGCUCACAGAUAACUAGCUAUUUAAGCAGAUCUGUAAUUUAGUUAUCAGUGCACAACAAGAAAAUAUUGAUAGAGGUGCUUGUUAAGCAUAAGAGACAGACCACAUAGAUGGCUGGUUAUAUCUUGUCAUUAUUGAUGCUAUUUGUUCUAUACUUAUGUCCUUACAAAUUAGAAGCCUCCUGCUGUCCUCCAUGUACCAUGUAGCAAUGUUCAGCAGCUGCGUUUUGUAAAACUGUAUGAUCUGUUCUGCA